rnacentral:rRNA from 1 species
GAUGAACGCUAGCUACAGGCUUAACACAUGCAAGUCGAGGGGAAACGACAUUGAAGCUUGCUUCGAUGGUCGUCGACCGGCGCACGGGUGAGUAACGCGUAUCCAACCUGCCUCUGACCAAGGGAUAACCCGUCGAAAGUCGGCCUAAUACCUUAUGCAGUCGUCGGAAGUCAUCUGAUGACGACGAAAGAUUUCAUCGGUGAGAGAUGGGGAUGCGUCUGAUUAGCUUGUUGGCGGGGUAACGGCCCACCAAGGCAACGAUCAGUAGGGGUUCUGAGAGGAAGGUCCCCCACAUUGGAACUGAGACACGGACCAAACUCCUACGGGAGGCAGCAGUGAGGAAUAUUGGUCAAGGGGCGAGGGCCUGAACCAGCCAAGUAGCGUGCAGGAUGACGGCCCUAUGGGUUGUAAACUGCUUUUAUGCGGAGAUAAAGUGAGGGACGUGUCCUUCAUUGCAGGUACCGCAUGAAUAAGGACCGGCUAAUUCCGUG